rnacentral:rRNA from 1 species
GACGUAGGAUGCAAGCGUUGUCCGGAUUUAUUGGGCGUAAAGAGUUCGUAGGUGGUUCGUUAAGUCUGAUGUUAAAGACUGGGGCUCAACCCUGGAAGUGCAUUGGAUACUGGCGGACUUGAGUGUGGUAGAGGCAAUCGGAAUUCCAGGUGUAGCGGUGAAAUGCGUAGAUAUCUGGAAGAACACCGGUGGCGCAAGCGGAUUGCUGGGCCAUAACUGACACUGAGGAGCGAAAGCAUGGGGAGCGAACAGG